rnacentral:rRNA from 1 species
GAUGAACGCUGGCGGCGUGCCUAAUACAUGCAAGUCGAGCGGCAGCAUGGCCUUCGGGCUGAUGGCGAGCGGCGGACGGCUGAGUAACGCGUAGGAAUAUACCCUAAAGUGAGGAAUAACUGCCCGAAAGGGUGGCUAAUACCGCAUGUGAUUUUCGAAUUAAAGCCUUCGGGCGCUUUAGGAAUAGCCUGCGUUCGAUUAGCUAGUUGGUGAGGUAAUAGCUUACCAAGGCAACGAUCGAUAGCUGGUCUGAGAGGAUGAUCAGCCAGACUGGAACUGAGACACGGUCCAGACUCCUACGGGAGGCAG